GACGAACUGUCCUAACGUUGUUCGGAAUCACUGGGCUUAAAGGGCGCGUAGGCGGUCCGACAAGUCGGGGGUGAAAUCCUGCAGCUCAACUGCAGAAGUGCCUUCGAUACUGUCGGUCUGGAGGGAGAUAGGGGUGUGCGGAACUUCCAGUGGAGCGGUGAAAUGUGUUGAUAUUGGAAGGAACGCCGGAGGCGAAAGCGGCGCACUGGAUCUCUUCUGACGCUGAGGCGCGAAAGCUAGGGGAGCAAACGGG
rnacentral:rRNA from 1 species